CGGGCUGAGUAACACGUGGGUAACCUACCCUGAAGUGGGGAACAACCCGCCGAAAGGCGAGCUAAUACCGCAUACGAUCGCUGGUUUACGGACUGGUGAGGAAAGCCCGCAAGGGCGCUUUAGGAUGGGCCUGCGGCCGAUUAGCUAGUUGGUGGGGUAAAGGCCUACCAAGGCGACGAUCGGUAGCUGGUCUGAGAGGAUGAUCAGCCACACUGGGACUGAGACACGGCCCAG
rnacentral:rRNA from 1 species